rnacentral:rRNA from 1 species
AGUGAACGCUGGCGGCGUGCUUAACACAUGCAAGUCGAACGAGAACGGGUUAUAGCUUGCUAUAAUUGUCAGCUAAGUGGCGCACGGGUGAGUAAUGUAUAGGUAAUAUGCCUCUUACUAAGGGAUAACAAAUGGAAACGUUUGCUAAUACCUUAUACUCCUUAUUAACAGAAGUUAAUAAGGGAAAGAUUUAUUGGUAAGAGAUUAGCCUGUAUUGUAUCAGUUAGUUGGUGGGGUAAUGGCUUACCAAGACUAUGACACAUAACUGGUUUGAGAGGAUGAUCAGUCACACUGGAACUGAGACACGGUCCAGACUCCUACGGGAGGCAGCAGUGGGGAAUAUUGCACAAUGGACGAAAGUCUGAUGCAGCAACGCCACGUGGAGGAUGACACAUUUCGGUGCGUAAACUCCUUUUAUAUGAGAAGAUAAUGACGGUAUUAUAUGAAUAAGCACCGGCUAACUACGUGCCAGCAGCCGCAGUAA